AUGAAAGGCGCUUCGGCGUCACCUUGAAAUGGCCUUGCGGUGCAUUAGCUAGUUGGGGGGGUAACGGCCCACCAAGGCGACGAUGCAUAGCCGACCUGAGAGGGUGAUCGGCCACACUGGGACUGAAACACGGCCCAAACUCCUACGGGAGGCAGCAGUAGGGAAUCUUCCACAAUGGACGAAAGUCUGAUGGAGCAACGCCGCGUGAGUGAUGAAGGUUUUCGGAUCGAAAAACUCUGUUGUAAGGGAAGAACACGUACAAGAGGAAAUGCUCGUACCUUGACGGUACCUUACAAGAAAGCCACGGCUAACUACGUGCCAGCAGCCGCGGUAAUACGUAGGUGGCAAGCGUUGUCCGGAAUUAUUGGGCGUAAAGCGCGCGCAGGCGGCCUUUUAAGUCUGAAGGGAAACCCCCCGGCUCAACCGGGGAG
rnacentral:rRNA from 1 species